UACAUGGGGUGCAAACGUUGCUCGGAAUCAUUGGGCGUAAAGCGCACGUAGGCGGUCCGCUAAGUCGGAUGUGAAAGCCCUCGGCUUAACCGAGGAAGUGCACCCGAAACUGGCAGACUUGAGUACGAAAGGGGGUCGCGGAAUUCCCGGUGUAGAGGUGAAAUUCGUAGAUAUCGGGAGGAACACCGGUGGCGAAGGCGGCGACCUGGGUCGAUACUGACGCUGAGGUGCGAAAGCGUGGGGAGCAAACAGG
rnacentral:rRNA from 1 species